UACAGAGGUCUCAAGCGUUGUUCGGAUUCAUUGGGCGUAAAGGGCGCGUAGGCGGCGGGGUCAGUCGGGUGUGAAAUCUUGGGGCUUAACCCCGAAACGGCACUCGAAACUGCCCGGCUGGAGGGCCGGAGAGGAGAUCGGAAUUCACGGUGUAGCAGUGAAAUGCGUAGAGAUCGUGAGGAAGACCCGUGGCGAAGGCGGAUCUC
rnacentral:rRNA from 1 species